rnacentral:rRNA from 1 species
GCGAACGGGUGAGUAAUACAUCGGAACGUGUCCUGUAGUGGGGGAUAGCCCGGCGAAAGCCGGAUUAAUACCGCAUACGCUCUACGGAGGAAAGGGGGGGAUCUUAGGACCUCCCGCUACAGGGGCGGCCGAUGGCAGAUUAGCUAGUUGGUGGGGUAAAGGCCUACCAAGGCGACGAUCUGUAGCUGGUCUGAGAGGACGACCAGCCACACUGGGACUGAGACACGGCCCAGACUCCUACGGGAGGCAGCAGUGGGGAAUUUUGGACAAUGGGGGCAACCCUGAUCCAGCAAUGCCGCGUGUGUGAAGAAGGCCUUCGGGUUGUAAAGCACUUUUGUCCGGAAAGAAAACGCCGUGGUUAAUACCCGUGGCGGAUGACGGUACCGGAAGAAUAAGCACCGGCUAACUACGUGCCAGCAGCCGCGGUAAUACGUAGGGUGCAAGCGUUAAUCGGAAUUACUGGGCGUAAAGCGUGCGCAGGCGGUCCGCUAAGACAGAUGU